rnacentral:lncRNA from 1 species
UCACAUCCAAUAUGUUAGGACACAACGUGUUGAAUUCCCAAUAAUGAGUUCUUAUUUUUUGACUAAAGAGAAAUGUUCAAUUGUUAGAUUUAACAAAGAAAAUCGGAACCCAAUACGUUAGGGCUCAAUUCCCUUGAAAAUCCUAAAUACGAGCAUUAUCUCAAUUUGGAAAAUUUUCUAUUUUUUAAAAUCGAGUAAAAAAAAUGAUGUAAUGUUAUAUUGAAUGCAUGUAUAAAUAUCGCAAUAACAAAUAACAAUAAUAAAUACGACAAUUGUAUAGAAAUAAGAUA